rnacentral:rRNA from 1 species
CGUAGGUAACCUGCCCAUGUGCCCGGGAUAACUUCUGGAAACGGAUGCUAAAACCGGAUAGGUAGCAGACAAGCAUUUGACUGCUAUUAGAGUGGCUAAGGCCAUGAACAUGGAUGGACCUGCGGUGCAUUAGCUAGUUGGUGAGGUAACGGCCCACCAAGGCGACGAUGCAUAGCCGGCCUGAGAGGGCGGACGGCCACAUUGGGACUGAGACACGGCCCAAACUCCUACGGGAGGCAGCAUG